rnacentral:rRNA from 1 species
CGUAGGUGGCAAGCGUUGUCCGGAUUUAUUGGGUUUAAAGGGUGCGUAGGCGGUCCUAUAAGUCAGUUGUGAAAUACGGCAGCUUAACUGUCGAGGUGCAAUUGAUACUGCAGGACUUGAGUACAGACGAGGUAGGCGGAAUUGACGGUGUAGCGGUGAAAUGCUUAGAUAUCGUCAAGAACACCGAUAGCGAAGGCAGCUUACUAGACUGUAACUGACGCUGAUGCACGAAAGUGUGGGGAUCAAACAGGAUUAGAUACCCUGGUAGUCCACACUGUAAACGAUGAUUACUCGAUGUUGGCGAUACACAGCCAGCGUCUUAGUAAAAGCGAUAAGUAAUCCACCUGGGGAUACGCCGGCAACGGUG